rnacentral:rRNA from 1 species
GACGAACGCUGGCGGCGUGCUUAACACAUGCCAGUCGAGCGGAAGGGGGCAGCUUUUGUGGGGAGCUAGCGGGGCGAGCGGGUGUGAAGCACAGGAAUCUCCUGCGCAUGACGUGGGGACAUCUGCAGGAAAGCGCUGCUAAUACCGGCGUGGAGAGCGUGCAGCAUGGUGGGGGUUGGAAAGUUCCGGCGGUAGGGGAUCGACUUGGGGCUUAUCAGCUUGUUGGGGGGGUAGUGGCUUACCAAGGCUUUGACGGGUAGUCGGCCCGGGAGGGUGACCGGCCACAUUGCGACUGAGAGAGGGCCCAGACUCCUACGGUAGGCAGCAGGGGGGAAUAUUGCACAAUGGGCGGGAGUCUGAUGCAGCAGCCCCGCGUGCGUGAUGACGUCCUAGUGGUUGUAAACCGCUUUCGGCUGUGACGAGGCGUGAGUGACGGUAAUGGGUAAAGAAGCACCGGCUAACUACGUG